UACGGGGGGGGGCAAGCGUUGUUCGGAAUUCCUGGGCGUAAAGGGCUCGUAGGCGGCCAACUAAGUCAGACGUGAAAUCCCCAGGCUUAACCUGGGAACUGCGUCUGAUACUGGAUGGCUUGAAUUCGGGAGAGGGAUGCAGAAUUCCAGGUGUAGCGGUGAAAUGCGUAGAUAUCUGGAGGAAUACCGGUGGCGAAGGCGGCAUCCUGGACCGAGAUUGACGCUGAUGAGCGAAAGCUAGGGGAGCAAACGGG
rnacentral:rRNA from 1 species